rnacentral:rRNA from 1 species
ACUGGUUGAUCCUGCCAGUAGUGUGUGCUCAUUGAAAGGAUUAAGCCAUGCAUGUCUAAGAUCGGGUGUUUAUACAACCUAAUCUGCGGACGGCUCAUUAAAUCGGUUAAAAUGUACACGGCAAUCAAUUACUAGUCGGAUAACACUGGUAAAUCUAGAGCUAAUACGUGCUUCUACUUCGGUAGGCAUUUAUUAGGUUGAAGCCAAUCGCCCUUCGGGGUGUUUAGGUGAUUCAUAAUAACUUAGCAGAUCGCGCAAGCGACAAGCCGUUCCAUUUUCCGCUCUAUCACACUUUCGACGGUAGAAUAGGGGUCUACCGUGGUAAUAACGGAUAACGGAGAAUUAGGGUUUGACUCCGGAGAUGGAGCCUGAGAAAUGGCUACAACUUCUAAGGAAGGCAGCAGGCGCGAAAAUUCUCCAAUGGCCAAAGGCCGAGAGAGCGACUCAACAUAACGAGAUUUUCUCUAUGAGAAAAUCAUCGCAAUGAGUACAGCAUACAACACUCUUCGAGAAACAAUUGGAGGGCAAGUUCUGGUGCCAGCAGCCGCGGUAGUUCCAGCUCCAAUAGUGCACAUUAAAGUUGCUGCGAUUAAAAAGCACGUAGCCGGAUUUUGGGGUGCCUGUAUCGACCCCACCCAGUAGGGUGGUGUGUUGAACACGGGUGUCCUUUCGCUUGGGUGUGACUUUCGGGUCUCGCUCGGGCAUAUUACCAUGAGGAAAUUGGAGUGCUCAAGGCAUGCGUCUUGCAGUUGAACAGUACAGCAUGGGAUAAUUUUACAUGGCGUGUUUCCAUUCUAUUGGUUUCUGGGAAUACGUAAUGAUUAAUGGGGGCGGUUGAGGUCCUUCGUACUCACGUGUUAGCAGUGGAAUGCUCAGACCACGUGAAGACGAACAAAGGCGAAAGCAAUGGACUUACACGUUCUCGUCGGUCAAGUACGAUAGCAUGAGGAGAGAAGGCGAUUAGUUACCGCCGUAUUUCAUGCCGUAAACGAUGCCACCUGGGGAUUGGGAAUCCAAGAAGCUUCUCAGGACCCUCCGAGAAAUCAAAGUCAUCAGGCUUCGGGGGAAUUACGCUCGCAAGAGUGAAACUUAAAGGAAUUGACGGAAGGCUGCCUCAAGCUGUGGAGUCUGCGGCUUAAUUUGACCCAACGCGGGGAACCUCACCAGGGCCAGACACAGCAAGGAUUGACAGGUUAAGUGGGCCUUUCAUGAUUCUGUGGAUGGUGGUGCAUGGCCGCUGAAAGUGAGUGAUGUGAGUUGUCUGCUUUAUUGCGAUAACUAACGAGACCUCCGCUGUUAAAUAGUCAGCUUUAGAUUUUUUCUAGGGUAUGGCUUCUUAACGGGACUACUGUAGUGAUACAGGGGAAGCGGGAGGCUAUAGCAGGUCAGUGAUGCCC